AACGCACAUUGCGCCUGCUGGUAAUCCGGCAGGCAUGCCUGUUCGAGCGUCAUUUCACCCCUCGAGCCUCUGGGCUUGGUGUUGGAGAGCUACUCGCAAGAGUAGCCUCUGAAAGAAAGCGGCGGAUCGUAUCGUCUCCCAGCGUAGUGAAUCUCUUCGCGAGGAUGAUGGUGCGGCUCUAGCCAUAUGCAAGUCUUACGACUAAGAAAACGACCUCGGACAGGUAGGAAUACCCGCUGAACUUAA
rnacentral:misc_RNA from 1 species